rnacentral:rRNA from 1 species
CUGGUGGCGAGUGGCGAACGGGUGAGUAAUAUAUCGGAACAUACCCAGAUAGUGGGGGAUAACUAUCCGAAAGGAUAGCUAAUACCGCAUACGAUCUGUGGAUGCAAAGCAGGGGAUCUUCGGACCUUGUGCUAUUGGAAUGGCCGAUAUCUGAUUAGCUAGUUGGUAGGGUAAAAGCCUACCAAGGCGACGAUCAGUAGCUGGUCUGAGAGGACGACCAGCCACACUGGAACUGAGACACGGUCCAGACUCCUACGGGAGGCAGCAGUGGGGAAUUUUGGACAAUGGGGGCAACCCUGAUCCAGCAAUGCCGCGUGAGUGAAGAAGGCCCUCGGGUUGUAAAGCUCUUUUGUCAGGGAAGAAACGGAGUUCUCUAAUAUAGGAUUCUAAUGACGGUACCUGAAGAAUAAGCACCGGCUAACUACGUGCCAGCAGCCGCGGUAAUACGUAGGGUGCAAGCGUUAAUCGGAAUUACUGGGCGUAAAGCGUGCGCAGGCGGUUUUGUAAGUCUGAUGUGAAAUCCCCGGGCUCAACCUGGGAACUGCAUUGGAGACUGCAAGGCUAGAGUGUGUCAGAGGGGGGUAGAAUUCCACGUGUAGCAGUGAAAUGCGUAGAGAUGUGGAGGAAUACCGAUGGCGAAGGCAGCCCCCUGGGAUAACACUGAC